CCCUUAGAUGUUCUGGGCGGCCCGCGCACUACAUUGGCACUCUCAAUAAGUUCCUAGAUCUAAAACUUUGGGGUAUUCUAUUAAGUGGUGUCGUGACUGGGAUUAACCCUUGCAAUUAUUGGUUACGAACGAGGAAUUCCUUGUAAUCGCGGCUUAUCAGCCCGCGCUGAAUGCGUCCCUGCCCUUUGUACACACCGCCCGUCGCUCCUACCGAUGAAUCGUCCGGUGAAGUUCAUGGAGUGGUGGUUGUUCCAGCUGCUGUCGAAGUGAAAUGGACCUCACGAUUUAGAGGAAGGAGAAGUCGUAACA
rnacentral:rRNA from 1 species